AUUUGUUGUAUUUUGUAUUUCAGGUGGACGUUCCAUCAACAAGGCAAGGGUUUAUAUAAACCCAGAAAUUGAAAUUAGUUUCUUGCGCUGCCUUGUGGGGAAGCUUGUCAGACAACAUGCCAAGGAAAACAAUAUCCAAGGAGGUCCUUACAUGGCCGGUUGCCCGCCACCGUGGUGGCCAGAGGACUUGCCCUUUUCCUCUCCAAACAGUGGGGAAAACAGGGGCAUGUUUACAGCAUCCACGCUAAGACAAAUCAUCUCUAAAUACAACAAUUUGUACUGCUUGACUCCAG